ACAAUGUCUGUUGGCUGAUCAAGUCCACUUUAGUACAUCCACAGACUCAGACCCUUGCUGCAAAGCUUGGUCAGGAGAGUUGUCUAGCCUGUUCU